CCUGGUAACCGAGUGCGCGCCUCUGUGGCAGAGCGCAGCAGGGGGUGGCUGCGGGAGCAACAGUCGCCUCCUCCACCCCCAUCCCCACCCCCUCUUUCUCCUCUGCGGGGCGAGGCAAGGCAAGGGUAGCGUCGGGAGGAGGGGGAGCCCCGUGGGCUCAGCGAGACGGCGGGGGGCGCUCCGCUCGGGCUCCCCCUCCCCUCGCGGGACCUGCAAGAGAGGGUUCCGCGGGCAGCGCUGCUCUGGGAGAAAGUGAGCGGUGAGGGGAGAGGCGAGCCGGGGUCAGAGCCGCUCGCCAGCUCACCUGCCCCGGGGACCAGGGGAAGAAAACGGUGUCAACAGAAUCCUCCGAGGCGGAGGCUUAGUUAUCGCCUCAGUACACUUGGAGCUGGUCUUUUUCUCCCCCCACCCCGCCCGUUUCCUUCCCCUUUCCCUGGACUGAAAGGGGGCCCUGGGUCCUUCCCCCGCACCCCAGGAGGAAAAUGGUGCAGGAGGAGCCAGAGUGACCUUUUGGGGUGGGGGGGCGAUAUUGUGAAUCCCGAAUACUGUGUCUGCGUGUGUGUGCCUGUGAAAAGGGGUAGCGAGCUAGCUUGACCUGCCCCCUCCUUUCCUUCCCUCUCCCCAACUGGAGGUUUUCCAUCUUCCAUCUUCUCUUCUCUCCGGCCCCCACCCGCCCCGCGUUUUCUUGUCGCCCGAUCUCUUCCUCCUCCCGGUCCUUGGCAGAGCGGUUGACGGGGUCUUCUUGCUGUGGAAGAUGGCGACACCAGGGAUGAGCUGGCAGCAGCACUACUACAGCGGCAGCUCCUCGACGAGCGCUGGGAAAUUCACCACCUCGGCCACCUCCUCACUGCUCGGCAUGGAGUAUAACCAGGACCUCCAUCUCAAAAUGAGCAAGAAAAUAGCUCAACUCACCAAGGUAAUAUAUGCUUUGAAUACAAAGAAUGAUGAACAUGAAGCUGCUAUCCAAGCGCUUAAAGAUGCUCAUGAAGAAGAAAUCCAACAGAUUCUUGCUGAAACCAGAGAGAAAAUUCUUCAAUAUAAAAGUAAGGUUUCUGAGGAAAUUGAUCUGAAAAGAAAAAUUCAGGUUUUAGAAGAAUCGUUGGAAGAUCAUAAAAAGAUGAAGCAUCAAGCCUUAACAGAGUUUGAAGCAUAUAAGGACAGAGUCGAGGAUAUGCAGCUUUGUGCAGAAGCUCAGCAUGUUCAGCGUGUAGUAACUAUGUCACGAGAAGUAGAAGAGAUUAGAAAGAAGUUUGAGGAGAGGUUACGGAGUUUUAUACAACUACAAGUGCAGUUUGAGAAGGAUAAACGUUCAGCUCUUGAAGAGCUGAGGGCUGCACAUAGACUUGAAAUCCAAGAACUUAUGAAAACCCAUCAGAAUCAGAAUGCUAGUUUAAAUAAGGGACAGGAAAAGCUAGAAGAAUUGCACAGACGGGAGGUGGAAGACUUGAAUGCCAAAGUUGAAGAGCUAAGAUUGGAAAGAAAAAAGCUAAUUGAAGACUAUGAAGGUAAACUCAGCAAAGCUCAAUCUUUCUAUGAACAUGAACUUGAUACUAUGAAAAGGUCGCAAAUGUUUACUGCUGAAAGCCUGAAAACGUGCAAAGAGAAAGAAGUGGAAUUAAGAAGGGAAUUCCAAAACCAAGAAUCUAUUUUACGAAAAAACUUGGGAAAGCUUAAGACUGAAUUGCAGAUGGUACAGGAUGAGGCAGGCAGUCUAAGAGAAAAAUGCCAGAAGCUUCAAGUAGCACUAAACACAGCAGAAAACAAUGUACAGGCUCUUCAAAAACAGCUAGAUGAUGUCAAAGAAGAGGAGAUGUCAUUGUUAAGCAAACACAAGGAGGUUGAAAGUGAGCUAGCAGCUGCUAGGGAACGCUUACAACAGCAGGCCACAGACCUUGUACUGAAAGCCAGCCACAUUGGAAUGCUUCAAGCUACUCAGAUGACCCAGGAAGUUACAAUAAGGGAUUUGGAAUCAGAAAAAUCCAGAUUAAAGGAGAAGCUGACUCAGUUAGAAGAGGAAAGAAAUCUUUUGCAAAGCAAAACACAAAGUCUGGAUGAAAGACAAAGGCAGCAAAUUCUUGCACUGGAAAAGAAAGUCAAUGAAGCAAGAGAAACACAACGAGAAUAUUAUGAGAAGGAGCUGAUAAAACUACAAGCAAGGCUAGAAGGGGAGGCUGCACAAUUAAAUGAGGCACAUUCUAAAACCUUGGAGGAAUUGGCAUGGAAGCAUCACACUGCUCUGGAGGCAGCACAUAGCAAUGCUAACAAGGAGAAAAGGAGACUGCAAAUGGAGCUAGAGCAGCAAUUUGAAAAAGAAAAGCUGCAUUUGGAAGACGAGAAGAAUCAGCUUCGACAGCAGUUAGAAAACCUGAGGGAAGAACUGACAACCAAGCUGGCUUCAUCCAAUCAGGAGAUGGGUCGUCUACAAGAUCUCGUAAGAAAAAGUGAGCAGGGCCUAGGUACUGCUGAAGGGCACAUCUCCAAUCUCCAGGAAACCCAAGAAAUUCUACAAAAAGAACUAGAAUUAACCAGGGCAAGACUGAGGGAGACCACAGAUUCUCUUUAUAAUGUUGAGGGAGAAUUAGACCAGGAAAGACAACAACAUGAGGCAAUGAUUGUAGCCAUGAGGGAAGAGGAGAAAUUCAAAGUUGACAGGAUGGCCCGUGAUCUGGAAAUAAAAUGGACAGAAAAUCUUCGACAGGAAUGUAGUAAACUACGUGAAGAGUUGCGACUUCAGCAUGAAGAAGAUAAAAAGUCAGCAAUGACUCAACUCUUGCAACUAAAAGAGAGAGAGAAAAAUGCUGCCAGAGACAGCUGGCAAAAGAAAGUGGAAGAUCUCUUGGAUCAGCGGCACUGUCUCGGUGAAGCUUUGCAUAAAUCUAUCAGCAAUAUCUCCCUGCUAAAGCAGAAUCUAGAAAUUCAGCUUUCCCAGUCCCAGACUUCAAUGCAGCAACUUCAGGCACAGUUUAGUCAGGAGCGACAGAGGCUUGCCCAAGAAAUUGAAGAACUGGAAGAAGAACAUCAGCAAAGGCAUAACUCCAUGAAAGAAGCACAUAUCCUUGCUUUUCAGAACAUGGAAGAAACAAAAGAACAAGAGCAAAAGGAACUUGAGGAGCGUUUACAACAAAAGCAUUCUGAAGAACUUCAGGCACUAAAAGAAGCACACAGGCAAGCUAUGGAUGCUUUCAAACUUGAAAUGGAACAGGAAUUGCAGACUCUUCGUUUUGAACUUGAGGAUGAAGGAAAAGCUAUGCUAGCCUCUCUGCGCUCAGAACUAAAUCAUCAGCAUGCAGCAGCAAUUGACCAACUGAGGCACAAUCAUCAGCAAGAACUUGCCACUGCUAAAAUGGAGCUUGAAAGAAGCAUGGACAUCAACAGGCACCAGGAAAAGGAAUUUGUGUGUCGGACAUCAGAUCUACAGGAGGAACUGAGGCAUCGAGGCCACCAUAUUUCUGAAUUGGAUAAGGAGAUACUUGCUCUGCAUGAGAACAUAAGUGCUCUAACCAAGGAACUGGAGUUCAAAGGGAAAGAGGUUCUCAGAAUACGCAGUGAAUCCAACCAGCACAUUAGGCUACAUGAACAAGAUUUAAACAAGAAACAUGAGAAAGAGCUGGAUGUCAUGACAGCAGACCACAUCAGAGAGAAACAAAGCAUGCUGGCAGAUUUUAAUAAGACUCAAGAGCUGCUCAAGGAAAUUAAUUCAGCUUUGCAAGUUUCUUUAGAAGAAAUGGAAGAAAAAUAUCAAAACAGGGAAUCAAGACCAGAAGAUUUGCAGCUUAUUGCAGAGUUGAAGGACCUGAUUGCUGAGAGGGAUCAGCUGAUAAAGAAACUGAUUGAUGACAAGAAAUUCUAUCAAUUGGAACUAGUCAAUAGGGAGACUAACUUCAACAAAGUGUUUAAUGCAAGUCCUAAUGUUGGUGUUAUCAACCCUCUGGUGAAGCAAAAGAAGAAGAAUGAUAAAUCAGCAAACAGGUUUGUGAGUGUCCCCAAUCUAAGUGCUCUGGAAUCUAGCGGAGUGGGCAAUGGACAUCCUAACCGUCUGGACCCUAUUCCUAAUUCACCCAUCCACGAUAUUGAGUUCAACAGCAGCAGACCACUUCCACAGCCAAUACCACCCAAAGAGCCCAAGACGUUUUUGAGACGUCAGUAACAUGCAUGUGCAUGAACUCGUGGAUUAUGAUGCUGGAGUUUCCAUUGCAAAUUAUUUGGUGCCUUGUAUUGCCAAAAACCGCCAUCCUCAGACUGAAGCUUCUCCAGUGGCUUCACCAGAUCCACAACGCCAGGAAUGGUUUGCCCGUUACUUCACAUUCUGAGAGAUUAUUUGUGUGUGUGGCACAGCGUGGUGUGGACUGUUCAUAAGAGCAUGACCUUAAAAUAAACCCUUAUGUGAACAAGCUUUCCUGUAAUAUGUCAAACACUGUGAAUGAGAAAGUAUUUGUCUCUCUGAUUUGAAAAUGCACUGUAUUUUAUGUGAUAUUUGUUGGAAUCACUUGACAUGGUAUAUAAAUGUGCUUAAUGACACUUAUUUUUAUUUAAAAUUGAAGAGUCUUUAAACUUUGUAAUUACUGCAUAAUAAAUUUUCAUAGAAGAAACUUAAUGCUUCCCUUCUUUUCCUAUAAAUACAUAUUUUCUUUGGUUUCAGGAAGGGCUUUCCCCUCCUGGCUUCCUUCCCAGAUGCAAUUAAUUGCAUGAUUCUAUAGCAAAAUAAACAGUCAGCAGUUUUAAAAAAAAUCAGACUGUGGCAAGAUAUGUUUUAACCCUUCUAUUUUUAUUUAGUUAUCUUGUAGAACUUAACUUUGAAAAUUGUGUUUAUUCUUAAAGUGGUGAAGAAUGCAAAAUAAAUCAGUUUAUAGUAGUAUAGGUGAUGGCCUUUAGAGCACUGAGUGAUUUUUGUCAAGAUCAUAGUAAGAAAAAUGGCAUCCUUUUUUCUUGUCUACAACUGAUCUGUCCUCUAGUAAUUAUAAUUCAUAUAUUUUAAUGUUGAAUUUCAUCAGAACCUUGUCAUAAAUGUUUUAUAAAUACCUUGAAAAUAAUGCUCUUUAGAACAUUUGGGUACUAAACUAUGUAUUGCUAUAUCAGUGAAACAUCAUUUAUGGGAAUCUGCAUUUUGAGGACAUUAUUAUCCUUGGGCAAAACUCAGGCUUUACAAAAAUAGUGCUAAGCCAGUUAUGCAUAAUGAAGCAUGUAAAUCUUUCAUUAAAGCUCCAGCAUACUUAACUUACAAAGAUGUUUCUUCUUCCAUUAUGAAAUUAAGCCAGGGAACCACAUAACCUUUUUCAUAUGGAGAGUGAGCCUGAUUUUCCAUUCUUUUACACUUGUGUUACAGUUGUGCAAAUCCUCUGACAGAAAAGAUGUAAUACACUAGCAAAUCUGAUUUACACAUUUUUUGUUGAUGCUGUUGUUGAAUCCAAGAUUACCACCAUGUAACCAACACUGGUAAUCUCAGGGAGAAUUUUUUCUUUGUUUUAUGAAUGUACUUUAAAACCUGAUAUUUGUAUCUUGAAAAGAAGGGAAAUGUGCUUGAUUUUAAAUAAGAUUUUUAUCCUUAGAUAAAAGUAUAGCUCUUCAUUAUUUCUGCUGAAGCCCCAACUGAGUCUUCCCAUUAUGCAAAAGCAUAAUUUAACCAAUUAAAGGUACCGUAUCUAGUUAAUAAUAAGUUUUAUAUGUAGCAUAUGUAUAAAAGAAUAAUUUGUAUGUUUUCAUAUAAAUAUAAAAUAUUCUAAAUCAAAAUUUAAAAAAUGUAUCUCCUGUAAACUCAGCCUGAAAGCUUCACUAGAAGCAGUGUUCCAAUGCUCUGCUGUUAAUCUAAAGCAGUAUUUGGCAGAUACUCUAUGGUUGAUGGAUUUAACUAUAGGUAUAUGCAGCCUUUACAUUAGAAGAAAGCCAUAUUGAGUCAAAGUCAGAUUUCUUGGCUAUUACCUGAAAUAAAACACACUGGAUAAUUUUGCUA